UCCACGCGCGCGUAGGUGGCCAAUUAAGUCAAAUGUGAAAUCCCCGAGCUUAACUUGGGAAUUGCAUUCGAUACUGGUUGGCUAGAGUAUGGGAGAGGAUGGUAGAAUUCCAGGUGUAGCGGUGAAAUGCGUAGAGAUCUGGAGGAAUACCGAUGGCGAAGGCGGCCAUCUGGCCUAAUACUGACACUGAGGUGCGAAAGCAUGGGGAGCAAACAGGAUUAGAUACCCUGGGAGCAUCCCAAUGCCGUAUUCGGGCGGCUGCUGGUAUUCCC
rnacentral:rRNA from 1 species